rnacentral:rRNA from 2 species
GGAAAAGAAACUAACAAGGAUUCCCCUAGUAACGGCGAGUGAACCGGGAAGAGCUCAAAUUUGAAAUCUGGCGUGCUCAGUGCGUCCGAGUUGUAAUCUAUAGAGACGUUUUCCGUGCCGGACCGUGUCCAAGUCCCUUGGAACAGGGUAUCAAAGAGGGUGACAAUCCCGUACUUGACACGACGACCGGUGCUCUGUGAUACGUCUUCUACGAGUCGAGUUGUUUGGGAAUGCAGCUCAAAAUGGGUGGUGAGUUCCAUCUAAAGCUAAAUAUUGGCGAGAGACCGAUAGCGAACAAGUACCGUGAGGGAAAGAUGAAAAGCACUUUGGAAAGAGAGUUAAACAGUACGUGAAAUUGUUGAAAGGGAAACGAUUGAAGUCAGUCGUGACUGAGAGGCUCAGCCGGUUCUGCCGGUCUAUUCCCCUCAGUCGGGUCAACAUCAGUUUUGUCCGGUGGAUAAGGGCAGCAGGAAGGUGGCACCCUCGGGUGUGUUAUAGCCUGUUGUCGCAUACAUCGGAUGAGACUGAGGAAUGCAGCUCGCCUUUAUGGCCGGGGUUCGCCCACGUCCGAGCUUAGGAUGUUGACAUAAUGGCUUUAAACGACCCGUCUUGAA